UACAGAGGUCUCAAGCGUUGUUCGGAUUCAUUGGGCGUAAAGGGCGCGUAGGCGGCCUGAUAAGGUAGGGGGUGAAAUCCUGUGGCUUAACUGCAGGGCUGCCUCCUAGACUGUUAGGCUCGAGCACGGUAGAGGCAGAUGGAAUUCCCGGUGUAGCGGUGGAAUGCGUAGAGAUCGGGAGGAAUACCGGUGGCGAAAGCGACUCUCUGGACGGCAACUGACGCUGAGGCACGAAAGCGUGGGGAGCAAACAGG
rnacentral:rRNA from 1 species